GGCCGGGUAGCUCAGUUGGUAGAGCACACGACUGAAAAUCGUGGUGUCGGCAGUUCAAAUCUGCCCCCGGCCACCA
rnacentral:tRNA from 1 species